GAAGCUCCUCUUCAUCCUCAAGGACGUGGACAACGUGGAGACUGAUCUGACCGUCGACCGUGAAUCCGUCUUGUGCGGUGGCAGCAGAAAGCAGGUGCCGCUGCCGCUGCUCCUGUCCUAUUUGUUGAAAAGAAAGAUGGUGCCGGGCUCCUCAUCCCUUGUCCCCUCCCGGCCCGAACAUGAGGCUGUCAGGAGAGCGUUCACAAAGGAGAACAACGACUCCGUGACCCUGAAGUUCCCCAACGAAAAGAGGAGGAAGUACUUCACCUUAUUCUUCAAGGACAGAAGGAAGGCCCUGACCGCCCUCAGGCUGGUGCAAGAGAAGGACACGUUUGUGGACCUGUGCCACGUGUCCAGCUUAUGCUGGGUCACUUGCAUGGCCCUAAGUUGGCAGAUGGAGACAGGGGAUGAUGGGAAACUCUCAUGCCAAAUGCUCACUGACAUAUAUGCCCGCUUUCUUGCCAACACACUGGCGUGGAAGGCUGCAGUUAGCACCUGUCGGUGCCGCUGUGUCCUCCUGUGUUGGCUGGCCUUGGAAGGGUUGUCGCUGUAGUGAUGGGGACCUCAGGAAUGUUAGGUUUACUCUUGCUGAUGUCCCUGAGUUGAAGGCGCUGAAGAUUCUUUUUCCCAGCAGCAACCAUAAAGACCAUCACAUGUUCGUACACUUGAAAAUCCAGGAGUUGUGCAGCCAUAGCGAAUAUGAUGAUAUUAACUGAGUGUCUGAUUCCUUCCAUCUGUAAGUUGUAUAAAGAGAGAAGAGAAAGACACAAUGACUUUAGCCCAGUAAUUACUUCUGUUUUCGGUCUUCUUAAUGAGAAAAACUUUUGAGACAGCCUUUGACUAUCCCCUCUUGACAGGAGAAUUUAAUUAGUACUUCCUAGAGAAAACAAAAUAAUUUGAGUGAUAAUCCAAAAGCAGUGGAGCGCCACAUGCCUUUGUUCCAUUGUCUCGUUGAGAAUCAGGAUGAAUUUGUGAAACAGAUAACAGGCUCUUUUUUAGAAGUUACCAUUUAUAUUAAAAAACGCAAAGAUCUCUUGGUUUCAUUAUAUCGUCUGGAGCAUUGCCAUCUUCUACAGAAAACUGAGUUGAGUAUUCAGUACAUCUUUAAAGACAAACAGCCAAAAAGGCUAACUUCCAGGUUGACCUAUGUCUCAGGGGGUACCCGGUUUGAAGACGUGUUCAAGUCUAUUGUUCACAAGCAGAAUCUGAUGUCCCUGAGCCUGGACUGUGUGCCCCAUUCCCUAGAGAUGGCCUCACCUUUGGGAGAAGCCUCGGAGAAUCCGAUUCACAGCAUACACAGCAUCCGAGGUGAGUUAUUCCCUGUUGGAUGCUCACUGUGUGCACGAGGGGGAUGGCUGGAUGUUGGCGGGCGCAGGUACCCUUUCAAUCAUCCUUGUUUGUUGUUGAGUCGCUCAGAUGCAUCCAGCUCUUUGCGACCUCGUGGAGGGGGCCUGCCAGGCUCCUCUGUCCAUGGGGUUCUCCAGGCAAGAAUACUGGAGUGGGUUGCCAUUCCCUUCUCCAGGGGAUCUUCCCAACCCAGGGAUCAAACCCAUGCCUCCUGCAUUGGCAGGCGGAUUCUUUACCAUCUGAGCCGCCAGGGAAGUCCCCCCUUUAGAUAA
rnacentral:lncRNA from 1 species